AAGCGGCACAGCUCAAAUUUGAAAUCUGGGCUCUUUCAGGGUCCGAGUGUAAUUUGUAGAAGAUGCUUUGGGUGUAGCUCCGGUCUAAGUUCCUUGGAACAGGACGUCAUAGAGGGUGAGAAUCCCGUAUGUGACUGGGUGCUUUCGCUCGUGUAAAGCUCUUUCGACGAGUCGAGUUGUUUGGGAAUGCAGCUCAAAAUGGGUGGUAAAUUUCAUCUAAAGCUAAAUAUUGGCCAGAGACCGAUAGCGCACAAGUAGAGUGAUCGAAAGAUGAAAAGCACUUUGGAAAGAGAGUUAAACAGUACGUGAAAUUGUUGAAAGGGAAGCGCUUGCAACCAGACUUGCGCGCUGUUGAUCAUCCGAGCUUUUGCCCGGUGCACUCGGCAGCGUUCAGGCCAGCAUCGGUUUUGGUGGGCGGAUAAAGGCCUUGGGAAUGUAGCUUCUUUCGGGGAGUGUUAU
rnacentral:rRNA from 1 species